AAGAUUUUAAGUUAAAUUAAACUAUUAACCUUCAAAGUUAAAUAUACUAAGGUUAGUAAGUCUUA
rnacentral:tRNA from 1 species